AGCUGUUGAUUGAGUUCCAGCUGUGAUGUAACAGUCCCGACAGUCGUAAUUAUUUGUGAAAGAUGUGGUUGGAGUGGCGCUUGAAAAAAAACGGAGUCAAACGAUAAACGAUCGCUCAGCAAUUGUUUCGUCUAUACUGGGAGACUGCAGCACAGAGGCCAGUUUGCGGGAAGAAUCUCAGAUGCCUUUCUCCGUAUACCAGCCUAGCUCAAAUAUCGUCAGGGCGCAUUUUUCUAAGUUUCGCAACAGGUUGCCUGCGGUCAAGGUCCCGGAGUUCGCCCACGACUGGACCUUCCAGCAAGACUGCGACUCAAUCAUACAUCAAAAUCUAGCAAUAAGUGGUUGAGUGAUCGCAUAGUCGGCGCUCUGAACCAGCCAUAUUAAUCUCAGUACCUGAGCAUUUGUGACGUGUACUAAAAUAAAGCAAACCGCAAAUGGGGGAUAACGAAGAUGUGCAGGCCAUUCUUCUCCGAAGAGGACUUUCCGGUAGAAAAUCACCAGCAAACCGUAAAAUACCAGUCCAGGAACACA